rnacentral:rRNA from 1 species
GAUGAACGCUGGCGGCGGGCUUAACACAUGCAAGUCGAACGGAAACGCGCUGCUUGUUUGGGGUGCUCGAUUGCCGAACGGGUGAGUAUGACGUGAGUAUCCCCCCCCUGCCUUUCAGAUAACGUUAGCAAACCGGAGCUAGUACCGGAUAGGUGCUCCUGCUGUUGGGUGGGGGCGGGUAGGUUGCGGCGGUUGGGGAUGGGGUCGGGGCUUGCGAGCUUGUUGGUGGGGUAGUGGCUUACGAAGGCUUUGACGGGUAGCCGGCCUGAGAGGGUGACCGGCGACACUGGGACUGAGAUACGGCCCAGACUCCUACGGGAGGCAGGAGUGGGGAAUAUUGCACAAUGGGCGGAAGCCUGAUGCAGCAACGCCGCGUGCGGGAUUACGGACUUCGUGUUGUAAACCGCUUUGGCCUGUGACGAUGCGUGAGUGAAGGUAAUGGAUAAAGAAGAACCGGCUAACUACGUG